UACGUAGGGGGCAAGCGUUGUCCGGAAUUAUUGGGCGUAAAGCGCGCGCAGGCGGCGGAUUAAGUUUGGUGUUUAAGCCCGGGGCUCAACCCCGGUUCGCAUCGAAAACUGGUUCGCUUGAGUGUAGGAGAGGAAAGUGGAAUUCCACGUGUAGCGGUGAAAUGCGUAGAGAUUGGGAAGAACACCAGCGGCGAAAGCGUGCUACUGGGUCUGCACUGACACUGAGGGAUGAAAGCUAGGGGAGCGAAAGGG
rnacentral:rRNA from 1 species